AUGCGAGCUUCCAUCUUUAUUUUCUUUCAACCUUUUGCCUCAAGUCCACGUCAAAGAAAAAUCAGUUUAUGGCUUGCAACAUCACGGAGUAAAACCGACUCUACACCCCUGUUCCAUAAAAACCUGCACCGAUUCAAAGCUCAAAAGAGUGAAAUUCAUAUCAAAUCAGAAAUAGAAAACAGAAAAAGCUUAAUAAAAUAUCCUAACUUCCUCCAAAGGAAACUUCCAGAGAUUUCUAACCUCCAUCCACCUUUAACAGAAUCUCUAACUUCCUCUCCAAACAGUUCAAUAAACUCUUAA